GGGCCUGGGUCGGGAAGGAGCUUGCAACCGAGAUAUGAAUAAUUUAUUUUGACUCUCAACCAUAAAAGAUGAAGAACUCAACAUGCACAGUAAUACUUUUCCCUAUCAACUUUGUAAGUUACAUUGUUUCUAUGUUGCAGUUUUAUAACAUUUAUGGUUUCCUGUGAGCAUACUCCCAAUGUGUUUUAUUCUUAAUACAUCAGAUAAAUGGAUUAAAUUAUUACUAUCUUA